AGCCGAUAAUCGAUAGGGGCCGUGAGAGCGGGAGCCCCGAGAUGGGUACUUAGACAGCGACCCAGGCCUUACGAGGCGCAGCAGGCGCGGAACCUCCGCAAUACACGAAAGUGUGACGGGGUUACCCAAAGUGUUCUCUUAAGAACUGUGGCGAGUGAGUAAUGUUCCUCGCUAGAAAGGAGAGGGCAAGGCUGGUGCCAGCCGCCGCGGUAAAACCAGCUCUUCAAGGUGGUCGGGAUAAUUAUUGGGCUUAAAGUGUCCGUAGCCGGUUUAGUAAGUUCCUGGUAAAAUCGGGUAGCUUAACUAUCUGUAUGCUAGGAAUACUGCUAUACUAGAGGGCGGGAGAGGUCUGAGGUACUACGGGGGUAGGGGUGAAAUCUUAUAAUCCUUGUAGGACCACCAGUGGCGAAGGCGUCAGACUGGAACGCGCCUGACGGUGAGGGACGAAAGCCAGGGGAGCGAACCGGAUUAGAUACCCGGGUAGUCCUGGCCGUAAACGAUGCAUACUAGGUGAUGGCACGGCCAUGAGCCAUGUCAGUGCCGUAGGGAAACCGUUAAGUGUGCCGCCUGGGAAGUACGGUCGCAAGGCUAAAACUUAAAGGAAUUGGCGGGGGAGCACCACAAGGGGUGAAGCCUGCGGUUCAAUUGGACUCAACGCCGGGAAACUUACCAGGGGAGACAGUAGGAUGAUGGUCAGGUUGACGACCUUACCUAACGAGCUGAGAGGAGGUGCAUGGCCGUCGCCAGUUCGUGCUGUGAGGUAUCCUGUUAAGUCAGGCAACGAACGAGAUCCGCACCUUUAUUUGCCACCAAGAAGUUACGACUUAUUUAGCCACANUAAAGGGACCGCCGUUCGAUAAGACGGAGGAAGGAGCGGGCAAAGGCAGGUCAGUAUGCCCCGAAACCCCUGGGCUACACGCGGGCUGCAAUGAUAUGAACAAUGGGCUGUGACUCCGAAAGGAGAAACCAAUCCCGAAAUCAUAUCACAGUGGGGAUUGUCGGCUGUAACCCGCUGACAUGAACGUGGA
rnacentral:rRNA from 1 species